rnacentral:tRNA from 1 species
CCGUGGGUCUUAGGAACAAAGACUCUUGGUGCAAAUCCAAGCAGGAACU